rnacentral:rRNA from 1 species
UACAGAGGUCUCAAGCGUUUGUUCGGAUUCAUUGGGCGUAAAGGGUGCGUAGGCGGCGCGGUAAGUCGGGGUGUGAAAUUUCGAGGCUUAACUUCGAAACUGCAUUCGAUACUGCCGUGCUUGAGGACUGGAGAGGAGACUGGAAUUUACGGUGUAGCGGUGAAAUGCGUAGAUAUCGUAAGGAAGACCAGUGGCGGAAGGCGGGUCUCUGGACAGUUCCUGA